UGCAAACAUCGCCGUUUGCCAGGCGCUCGCCGACGAGCGCGGAGAUGCCAUAAGCAUUUUCGAAACAAAAACCAUCGACGAUACCCUCGCAGAACUUAAAAUGGGCGAAUGCGACCUCGUUCUUGGAUUAAGCGUUUUCCAUCACCUCAUCUACGAGAAAGGUUUUGAACACGUCAGAGAAAUAUAUCGCGGAUUGGCGCGAAAAACACUCGCAUGUUUAUUCGAACUCGGUCUUGCGGAAGAGCCCCUAUAUUGGGGCCCAUCGCAACCCGCAUCGCCUCGACAACAGCUCGAA
rnacentral:misc_RNA from 1 species